rnacentral:lncRNA from 1 species
UUUCUUUAUUAGUGGAGCUGAAGCUACUGUGCCUUGCCUUGUGUGCGUUCAUAGCGUCCCCGCUGUACGGGCAGAGCCCUUAUCAGCCUAAUAACCAUGAUGUUAUCGCCACAAUUGAUGAUUUCAGAAACAUAUGGAUCAACUGUACGCAGAUAAAUGGCACCGAAAUUACAGUACUAACAGACACUACCCCUUGUUACGU